GACAGAGGUGGCAAGCGUUGUUCGGAUUCAUUGGGUGUAAAGGGUUCGUAGGUGGUCGAGCAAGUCUGACGUGAAAUCCCAUGGCUCAACCGUGGAACUGCGUUGGAAACUGCCCGACUUGAGUACCGCAGAGGUGAAGGGAAUUCCCGGUGUAAGGGUGAAAUCUGUAGAUAUCGGGAGGAACACCAGUGGCGAAGGCGCUUCACUGGGCGGUUACUGACACUGAGGAACGAAAGCAAGGGGAGCAAACAGG
rnacentral:rRNA from 1 species